GGAGCAACAGGGAAAGAAGAGCUUUAGAAAAGGCAGUUUAAUUAACACCGUCRUCUGAAGAUCAGUGUUCUCCUCUUUCCCGGUUCAGGUUCCUCAGCCACAACAAGAUCGCCCAGCUGAAGCCCAGGGUUUUUGAGGACCUCCAUCGCCUSGAGUGGCUGAUGCUGGACAACAACCGGAUCGCCCGGGUGGCCCCGGCCGCCUUCGCGGGGCUGAGGUCGCUGUAUUUCCUGUGAGUGCGGGGACGGCGCUGGGGCGUGCGCGAGGGCGUGAGCGUGCACACGAGCGUGCACACGUGCACCUUCGGCCGCCGGCCCGGGCGGGUUUGCAGCCCGGGCAAACGCGGCGUGCGCUGACCCCGCUCCUCGCUGCCGCUUCCCCCAGGUACCUGCUGAACAACUCGCUGRGCAGGAUGCCCAGUGCCUCCCUGUGCGCCGAGGCGCCGAAGCUCAGCUGGC
rnacentral:lncRNA from 1 species